rnacentral:rRNA from 1 species
AUUGAACGCUGGCGGCAGGCCUAACACAUGCAAGUCGAGCGGAUGAAGGGAGCUUGCUCCUGGAUUCAGCGGCGGACGGGUGAGUAAUGCCUAGGAAUCUGCCUGGUAGUGGGGGAUAACGUCCGGAAACGGGCGCUAAUACCGCAUACGUCCUGAGGGAGAAAGUGGGGGAUCUUCGGACCUCACGCUAUCAGAUGAGCCUAGGUCGGAUUAGCUAGUUGGUGGGGUAAAGGCCUACCAAGGCGACGAUCCGUAACUGGUCUGAGAGGAUGAGCAGUCACCCUGGAACUGAGACACGGUCCAGACUCCUACGGUGGGCCGCGGUGGGGAAUAUUGGGCGAUGGGCGAAAGCCUGAUCCAGCCAUGCCGCGUGUGUGAAGAAGGUCUUCGGAUUGUAAAGCACUUUAAGUUGGGAGGAAGGGCAGUAAGUUAAUACCUUGCUGUUUUGACGUUACCAACAGAAUAAGCACCGGCUAACUUCGUG